rnacentral:rRNA from 1 species
UACGUAGGGGGCUAGCGUUGUCCGGAAUCAUUGGGCGUAAAGCGCGUGUAGGCGGUCCGGUAAGUCCGCUGUGAAGGUCGGGGGCUCAACCCUCGAAUGCCGGUGGAUACUGUCGGGCUAGAGUGCGGAAGAGGCGAGUGGAAUUCCUGGUGUAGCGGUGAAAUGCGCAGAUAUCAGGAGGAACACCUAUUGCGAAGGCAGCUCGCUGGGACGUUACUGACGCUGAGACGCGAAAGCGUGGGGAGCAAACAGG